UUAGUAGAGAUGAGGUUUCACCAUGUUGGCCAGUCUGGCCUUGAACUCCUGACAGGCGAUCUGCCUGCCUUGGCCUCCCAAAGUGCUGGGAUUACAGGUGUGAGCCACCGUGCCCGGCCAUUUUUUUGUUUUUGUUUUUGUUUGUUGUUUUUGAGAUGGGGUCUCACUCUGUCACCCAGGCUGGAGUGCAGUGGUGUGCUCUCUCGGCUCACUGCAACCUCUGCCUCUCAGGUUCAAGUGAUUCUCCUGCCUCAGCCUCCUGAGUAGCUGGGAGUACAGGUGCCUGACAGUGCACUCAGCAAAUUUUUGUAUUUUUUGUGGAGAUGGGGUUUUGCCAUGUUGGUCAGGGUGGUCUCGAACUCCUGACCUCAGGUAAUCUGCCCGCCUCAGCCUCCCAAAGUGCUGGGAUUACAGGCAUGAGCCACUGUACCUGGCCAAAAUCUCCUAAUGUUUUAAGAAAGUUUACAAAUUUGUGUUGAACUGCAUUCAAAACUGUCCUGGGCCACAUGCAGCCCGUCACUCAUGGGUAAGACAAGCUAAGUAUAAAGUAAUUAUCUUUUCUUUUCUUUUUGUUUUGAGACAAAGUCUUGCUCUGUCACCCAGGCUAGAUUGCAGUGGCAUGAUCUCAGCUCACUGCAACCUCCGCCUCCCGGAUUCAAGCGAUUCUCCUGCCUCAGCUACUGAGUAACUGGGAUUACAGGCGCCUGCCACCACGCUCGGCUAAUUUUUGUAUUUUUAGUAGAAACAGGGUUUCACCAUCUUGGCCAGGCUGGUCUCCAACUCCUGACCUCAUGAUCCACCUGCCUCGGCCUCCCAAAGUGCUGGGAAUACAAGUGUGAGCCACUGCACCUGGCCAGUAGUUAUCUUUUCUUUAAAGUUAUUUACUUGUUUUUUAAAUUGAUGUAUAACAUUGGAUGCAUUUAUUAUAUAUCACAUGGCAAAAGAAUCCCUCUAAAUAAUACUUCUCUCUUGGAUUAUAUGAAUCUUUGUCAUUUAAAGCUCAGCAUAAGUAAAAAAAAAAAAAAUACAAUGAAGAGAUUACUUCAUUCACAAAUAAGUAUCAAAUUUUAGUGCUUAAAAAUUAACAAGGUGGGCUGGGCGUGGUGGCUCACGCCUGCAAUCCCAGCACUUUGGGAAGCCGAGGUGGGUGGACCACGAGAUCAGGAGAUUGAGACCAUCCUAGCUAACACGCUGAAACCCAUCUCUACUAAAAAUACAAAAAAUUAGCAGGGCAUGGUGGCACGCGCCUAUAGUUCCAGCUACUUGGGAGGCUGAGGCAGAAGAAUCACUUGAACCCGGGAGGCAGAGGUUGCAGUGAGCUGAGAUCGCACCACUGCACUUCAGCCUGGGUGACAGAGCGAGACUCUGUCUCAAAAAAAAAAAAAAAAAUUACCAAGGUGGAGAUCAUGAAAAUGGCAUGAAUAGUGUGGGAUUUCUCUAAGAUUGUUGAUAUUAAUUCCAUUAGACUCUUAUGUGAGUGAAGACGAAGACUUCCCCUGAGUAAGUUCAGACAGCUUGUGAUAACAUUUCUACAUCGAUUCCUCAGGAUUUAACUAUAUAUUCUUGAAAACAUCUCAAUUUUAAAUGUUUCUUUCAGAUGGUGAAUUAAACAGAGAUAGCCCUUCAACAGGUUGAACUCAGCAUAUGCUGAGUCCGAAAUGGAAAUGAUGGAGUUAGAGAACCAUACAACAAUGGUUACCAUGCCAGCAAUGGUUCCUUUUGAGUUUCUGACAGAAGAUAGUGGUUUUCAUCCAAAUAAGUCAACUACUCUACCCCAUCCCUAAGCCACUUGUAUGGAAAGAAAAAGAGGAAGAAGCCAGUACUGCGACUGCGUAAGCUUCCCCCAGCAUCACCCGCUAUGAGAUGUGUGGCAGCUGAGACCCGGGAACUGCUCAAGGGCACCAGGCCCCAUCUGUCUGCACUCACUCACCUUCCUCAGGUACUCGCAUGGGCAUGUCACUGACUUUACGUGCUGCUGCAGCUCCUUGGUGAGCUGGCCCUGGUCAUGGGACAGGAACU